rnacentral:misc_RNA from 1 species
GAUGAAGAACGCAGUGAAAUGCGAUAAGUAAUGUGAAUUGCAGAAUUCAGUGAAUCAUCGAAUCUUUGAACGCACAUUGCGCCCCUUGGUAUUCCGGGGGGCAUGCCUGUUCGAGCGUCAUUUCAACCCUCAAGCUCUGCUUGGUAUUGGGCACCGUCCUUUGCGGGCGCGCCUCAAAGACCUCGGCGGUGGCGUCUUGCCUCAAGCGUAGUAGAAUACACCUCGCUUCGGAGCGUAAGGCGUCGCCCGCCGGACGAACCUUCUGAACUUUUCUCAAGGUUGACCUCGGAUCAGGUAGGGAUACCCGCUGAACUUAAGCAUAUCAAUAAGCGGAGGA